rnacentral:rRNA from 1 species
AGGACGAACGCUGGCGGCAGGCCUAACACAUGCAAGUCGAGCGGCAGCGCGGGUAGCAAUACCUGGCGGCGAGCGGCGGACGGGUGAGGAAUACAUCGGAAUCUGCCUUGUUGUGGGGGAUAACGUAGGGAAACUUACGCUAAUACCGCAUAAGACCGUAAGGUGAAAGCGGGGGAUCGAAAGACCUCGCGCGACAAGAUGAGCCGAUGUCGGAUUAGCUAGUUGGCGGGGUAAUGGCCCACCAAGGCGACGAUCGGUAGCUGGUCUGAGAGGACGACCAGCCACACUGGAACUGAGACACGGUCCAGACUCCUACGGGAGGCAGCAGUGGGGGAAUAUUGGACAAUGGGGGCAACCCUGAUCCAGCCAUGCCGCGUGGGUGAAGAAGGCCUUCGGGUUGUAAAGCCCUUUGUACGGGAAGAAAAGCUUGGGGUUAAUAACCUUGAGUCAUGACGGUACCGUAAGAUAAGCACCGGCUAACUCGUGCCAGCAGCCGC